rnacentral:lncRNA from 1 species
AUGAGAGCAAACAGGCAGGAUCACAGCCCAGGAGUGAGAAAUAAGGUCUGAUGAGUCAGRUACUGGGAUUCUUUUCUGAAUAUUUAAAGACAACUAUGGUAAGGAAGAGAGAAGAAAUCUAAGAAAGACUGUGAACUCCCUGGAGCCAUACAGUAGUGACUAUGCUGAAAAGAGAAACCAAGCAACCAGUCAGAGAACUAGAAAUAAUUCCAAAUGCACUGCCAGAUUAUUUUAGUGCCAGGCACAAAGCUGAUUUGGGAAGUUGUGAAAAUUAAGAAGACAGGUAAAUAUGGGGGGAAAGAAGAACCAGUUGCAGUAGCAGGGGAAAGAGAGCUUUCGCUGAAAGAAACUCUGAAGCACCUCAGAUUCUUCUGGCAUUAGCUACCUGGGUGGUGAAGAGGUGGAUCCUGAACACAGAAAGAACUUUAGUCCUGCAAGAGAAUGAGUUUCUAAACUCCUGCUGGUUGGAAUUAGAGGCACAAAUCUAGGGUCAUGGAACUGACCAGCUCCUGUGGUCAUACAGGAUCAGACUCAUAGCUUUGGCCUUAUUAUCCAGAGUUCUCUCAGCAGCACUGGAUGGUUCUCAGGCUACGCUGUACAUUCCAGAAUCAAUGAGUAG